rnacentral:lncRNA from 1 species
CAGUAUUUUUCCCAGAAAUUGCCGUUUUGUGAUUCCUUUUGAUUUUGUGUCUGUAUAACAUCCAAAAUGUCUCUAAUACUGGCCCCAACUUCUCUUUUAACCUGACAUCAAGCACCUUUUAAAUCAUGCGUGUGCAAGUUCGUGUAUGUGUGUGUGUGCCUCUGUAUGUGUGUGUGUGUGUGUGUGCGUGUGUGUGUGUGUGUGUGUGUGUGUGUGUGCGUGCUAAUUCUAAGCCUUGAGGGCAGGGCACUGUUGGGAAGGCCCUCAGAGCUGUCAGGUCUUGGUCUUGCCUGUGACUCUGGAGGUGGAAUUAAAACCAAACAAAGUGCUUUCAGUAGAGAGCACUCUUACCCAUGUAAUUAAAUGUUAGUCCUUUCAAUGUUAAAUAAAGUAUAACUUCUAGUGU